GGUCUUCCCGAGUUAUUCAUCCAACAGUGACCAGCGGCCCGCUGUGCUCCAGGCGUGCCUGGAGGGUGGGGCCUGAGCUUGGCAGUGGACGGGCAGAAAGCAAGCAGUUACCACAAGGCUGAUGCGGAUUAGCACAGAGGAAAAGCAGGAUUGCAGGGUGAGGGUCUCGGAGGGUGAUGCCCAGUAAGAAGGGGCCCGCCAGGUGAAGACGGGAGGGGGCACAGGUCCAGGGGGCUGUACAGAGUGUGAAGACAAGGCGGCUUGACUUGAACGUGGACGUUCACCCACAGCCAGGCCUUUUCCAGCCCUGAGAGCAGACAGAAAGUGACCCAUUUCUUUCCUGAGAAAGCCAGCCCCCGGCAGAGGUGGCCCCGGGUGGACUUCAGACUGUCGAGAGAGGCUUCCAGAACCAGGCGGCCAGCUGGCCCGGUGCCUCGCCCAGCACUGUCCACCGGGGGUGUCAGUGUCCGCCAUCAGAGAACCCUGAGGCCUGGGCCUGGGAACCCAAGGGGCCUGGUGGCCGGACGGGAGGGGGACGGCAAGGCCAGAGGGCAGAGGAUGUUUGCACAGUGAGUCAGAGCAGACGUGGGACUCUUAUGACACACUGGUCCACGGAGGCUGGAGUCGAGGCCUCACGACAGCCGACGCCUAUGCUCCCUCCCGCCAGAGGGGCCCUGGAUGGGGGCAGGGAGGCGGCCACAGACAAAGGCGGGGACACACAGCCCGUGGCCAAGGGCCAGUUUAAAUUAGUGAACAUCUGAAAUGAAGGAAGUUUUGUUUUGUUCUAAGAACCCAAGUGUGUUGGAACAGUCGGCCACAGAUUAGCGGCCGGGGAACACCGCCAGCCCGGCGUCUUACGGGGCCUGAUUGAGGAACAGAUAUAAAUACCUCGCUUUCAGAUCCUGGAUCAUUCAGCGGGUGAAGGGACACAAUUACAGGGACCCGAACGCAGCCCCCUUUGGGUCAGCUCCCUUCCACUCAGGGUCCCCAGCGGCUCUGCAGUGGCUGCAAGCCCAGGGCUCGUUAUCCCGUGGGCACACAUGCCAUGGAGCGGGCUCUGCUGAGGGCUCAGGAUGAAGAAUCUAGAGCAUCAGGAACCUCACCGGUGGCCCGCCCACCGCUUGCCUCCACAUUGGAAAAAAAACCCGCUCAGAAAUUCUCCUGUGGCUAAUUCAUUCCAGAAGCCACCAGACUGAAUAUCGCUACUGUAAAUACAUUUCUUCUUUAUCCUGGGGCAUCUUCUGGCCAAAAGACUAAGGAAAAAGCCAGGAGAGACUCAUUUUCAAGGGGAGGAGCCAUGCCGGGCCAUGCAGGGCCACACGGGGAAGCACCAGGGUCGGCCGGAGCCUAGGAAGGAGGGGAAGCUUGGCCCAGAAGCUCCACUGUGGUUUCUGAGAGCACUGAACGCAGCUGGCCACUCCCGGUCCUUGGAAUGGGCUCUCCUGGAGUCUCCUUGGACACCCUCAGGGCCCAGUCUUGGGUGGUCCUCUGCCUUCACUACCACCCCGUGACCUCCAGAGGGCAUGCACAGGUGCUGGGUCCCCAUCUCCACCUGCUUCAAGCCCCUCUCCUGAGCUCCGCACCUGCAGACCCACCUGCUCCACCUUUCACUGACCUUAGCCAGGCCCCCAGUCUUCUCUCCCAUGUUGUGUUCUCCUGUGGGCUCUCCCUCCGUGAUCGGGCCCUCUGUCUUUGUCACCCAAGCCAGAGUCCAGGCUUCUCACUGUGCUGUUCAUUGUGUCUGCUAGCCCCUCUCCUACCCCUGACACCCCAGAAACUAAGUGAGUGCCGGGUAUCCCCAAAGUGGCCAAAAACCAGCUGGUAGACCAGACAGAGAGACUGAAGGCAACGCCAAGGCCCUCGGGGCCUGUCCUGGGUUGGGGUCUCUUCCCCAGGAAGGCCCACCCUGGCAGCUCAGCUCUCUCCCUCCCCCUUGGAACCACAGCAGUCAGAGAGAGCAGAUUGUCUGAGCGCCCAUUUUACAGACUGGAAAACUGAGGUCCAGAAAGAGGAGGUCAUUUGGGAAGAGCUGGUUAAUGGGUGGAGGGACCAGGCCUGGGACUCGGCCCUAAGAGUCCUGCUGUGGUGUUUUCUCGACUCACGGCUGGGCCCAGCGAGGCCCCAGGCAUAGCAGCAAGGCCAGUGUGGGCAGAGCAGCCUGUGGACCGGGUAUAGGGUCAGAGGUCGGGGCAGGAUCACAGCCAGUACCCUCGCUGGGGCUUCCUUCUCAGGGAAGGUUGGUGACCAAGAGGAGGGAAGUUUAUCGGGCACCCACUACGCGUACUCGUUUGCUGCCACUGAAGCACAGAGUACAGCCUCGGGGCAUGGAUGAGGAACUGGGCUCAGGGGUCCCACAGCACCACUGGAGUCCUGGGGACCGUGCCCCUGAAUGUCUGCGCAGUGCAGGACCGCUCGGGGACGGGUGGCCGUCAGGCCGGGCUUUGGGUGGCAGUAGAAGCCCAGGAGGGACACAGCAUCCGCCUGGGGGCCUGCACCUGAGCCCUCCCACCCUGGGCGCGGGCACUGUCCUGGGUCUCUGUGUGGGGUGACACCAUCAAGAGGCGUUCUCUGCUUUGCGAUACCAAGGGCGUCCAAGGUCGGGAGGAAACGUGCCCACCCUACAGGGCCAGCUGUGGAAUUUGCAGGGCUCAGCGCAAGCGCAAAGAUGGGGGCCCGUGUUCCGCAAGUGGGAACGAUUUCAAGGCAGCAACAGCAGAGGAGGGCCAAGGGCGGGGCCCUCUCAGCUCAGCCCGGGGAGCAGCCCGGUGCCGUCUCGGGAGAGGGGGCUUUCACCAGGAGGGGUGAGCAGGACAGGUGGUCCCGGCCAAGGGGCCAGAAGGAGGUGGGCUCUGCCCCAAGCCCAGCGUGCACAGGUGAGGGGUGUGCAGAAAGAGUGACAGAGGCCGGAGCCUGGUGGGACCCCUGGGUGGCUUUCAAGCAGGGAAUGGAAAACACUAGAGUCUUGUUUGGGGGAGAAUAGGCCAGCGAGGUGGGGAGCAGGGUCCUCGUGGCUCCCCAUCCCCUGGGCUACGCCAUCCAAGUGAACCCCACCUCCCGCCCACCUCACUGGCUCCAGGGACCCCAUUCUCGAUCGCAUUAGCUUGGUGGGGAGGACCUGCAUCUCAGCAUACCUGUAAAAGAGGGGGGCACCAAAACUGGGCAUCCUGACCUGAUGGUAAGCGUUUGGGACCAACCCCCAGAAAAACGUCAUGUGCAUCAAUGUACCCACACCACGCGGCUCUCAGGUCCUCUUGAAGCCCACCCUGCACCCUGUGACCCCACGUGCUGCUCCUGGCCAUCUCAUCAGCUUCAGGCCCCCAGGGAGGAGCCAGGGCCCUACAGGUGGCGUGUGGCCUGGCGUCCUGACCUCCUGGACCCUCAGUUCCCAGAGGAGCUGCACAUCCCAGGGGGCCCACAGAGGAAGCAGGGCCACGGCCCCUCAGAAUUCACCACAUGCGGCCUCUUGGGCUCUCAGUGAAGUGAGGCUCCCACAUCUAGCUCUAGCCCAGGUCAGCCCCUCCACAGCAGGCCCCUCACAGCCCCUUCUCCCUAGCGGUGACCAGGGGGUGCAGUCCCCCGGUGCUUGGAUGGUCGUGCUCACCCGGGGCCAGGCCAGGUGGCACGCCUCUGCCCCCCAGGCUCCGUUCAGCUCACUGUCUAUCCGCUCCAGCCCCAUCACCCUCUUCCUAGAGGUCAGGAAGACAGGUCAGAGGUGGAUGGCGCCUCUAGGGUCAAGCGUGGCCAUGGUCCAGAAACAGCUUUUGGAGUCCUCAGGGCAGCCUCGGGCAGGGUUCCAGCUGGAUGUGGAUUCUGUCUGCCUUUGCUGCCCGGGACAAGGCCAGCCGUGCACCCCCGGCAAAGGAGGAGAGGCCCCAAGUGGCAACAGAGGUCCACAGGCAGGAGACUCAGGGUGGUCUCGGGCUUGAAGUGGGGAGGAUACCACUGAGACCCACCAGCCAGGCAGGCCCCACCCCACCACUCCAGAGCUCUGGUCCCAGCUGCAUGCCCUCUCCCAGUGCCCUGUCCUCUCCUGGUCAUGGGAUGCUGAGGACGCCACCUCAGAGGGUAACUGUGGGGUUAAAAGAUAAGACCUGUGGAUCUCCCAACCAGUGGGAGCCUUUAGUUGGUGAUUAGAAGAGAUCUAGUGCUUUCUACUGCUUCUGCGCUCCCUUGUACUGUCUGCUUGAAAACAGUUAUCACACCUGUUGUCAUUGUUUGCCCAGCUAUCUCCCCACCAGACAUUCGGCUUCGGAGAAUAGGGUCGUACAGUUUCAUUUGUAUCUCUCCAGUGCCUGAUAAGGUCUGAGCGUGUCCUAGCCACUCUGAGGGUAUUUAGUGAACAAACGAAUGAGUCUAAAUGGAAGGGAACCAGUUCUGUGCCAAGCACUCAAUUUCUGUCUCACUCCUGCUCUCCCUAAAGGCUGUCGCAUAAUGGUUUCCUGGCUCCCGCUGGUCCUACUACAUAAGACAUCAUGAGGGUCUCAGCAGUCCUCCCCCCAUCCCCCAAAACUGUUCCCCGGCCCCCACCAAGGGUGACCACUGCCCUACCUUCAAUUGCAGUGGGAUAAAAUGUGCUUGUUUUGAACUACAGAUAAACGGAAUCACACAACAA